rnacentral:lncRNA from 1 species
AAUGGACGUACUCACUAGUGAAACACUCUUGUAAACUCUACAUCGCUUGAAUUUGUUUAAGUUUUAUACAAGAAAAUGAAUUUAAUAAACACAAAAUGUUUAUGCUUUUUGCUGAUUUGUUGGACAAUAAUAGUAGAUACCUAUCAGAAACGUAAGUUAUAAAACACUUCAUGUCAUUGGUAUCAUUGUAAUAUCAUUUAGUAAACGAUAUAUCAAGAUAAAUUUGAUGGAAUAUCUUUUUCUAUGAAUAGACUUUAAGACAAAUUCCUUUGAAUUUUGUAUUUGUAUUGAAAUACAUGCAACCAUUGCUUGCAGGGUGGCAAAAACUUCUUUACAUUAAACUGGUAAGGGCAGAUUAUGGCCUCAAAUUUCAAGUUUCAUUUGAUAACAGAUUUUGGACACUUUUUAAAAUAUUACGUACCUAUUUCAGUAGAUUCAAUUAGUUUAUUUGAAAGAUUUUUACUGAUUUAGUCAUUAAAAACACCCCGAUUCAAGUUUAAAUCUGAAAAAUCUAUCAAAUAUGCCAAAAAAUGUCACUUUUCAGAUGGUUUUUGCAAAAAUGAAAGUGGCCGCAUCCUGUUCAUCCUCAACCUUUAUAUAUGUUAUGUAUUAUCAUCAAAUACAACUUACAUUCCAAUAUUAAGAAUGAACACAAAUGCGGCCACUUUCAUUUAAGACGGAAACCGUCAAACAUUUAACUAAAAUGCUAAAAUUGUGAAGAUUUCAGUAAUUUAGCAUAAGUUAAUGAUGCUAGUACCCGAUAUAUGUGCGUUGUAUUGAUGUAGCAGAAGCUUCGACUUUCCAAAAAAUAUCUAACAGUUUACAUUUUAACAAUUUUGUAAAACUGCUAUAUUUUGGGGACAAAAAGAGGUCUUAUGAACCUACUCCUUUAAAAGAAGUAGGUCCAGUUAGACCCUUUUUGGACCCAAAAUAUAGCAGUUUUACAAAAUUGUUAUGUGUAAACUUUUAGCUAUUUAUUGGAAAGAAAAAUACUUCUGCUACAUACAAAUGGGCUUUUUUGACAAUACAAUCCACACAUAUCGGGUACUAGCAUUAUUAAGUCAUGCUAAAUUACUGAUAUAUUCACAAUUUUAGCAUUUGAAAUAAACUGUAGAUAGUUUCCGUUUUAAAUGGAAGUGGCCGCAUUUGUAUUCAUUCUUUAAACAUAUUUUAGGGUAAGUUGUAAUUGAUGAUAAUACAUUACAUAUACAAAGGUUGAGAGUGAACACGGAGGAGACCACUUUCAUUUUUUACAAAAAAAACAUCUGAAAAGUGACGUAUUAUGGCAUAUUUGAUAGAUUUUUCCUUUUUUAUGCUUGAAUUUGAACGUAUUCAAUGACUAAAUCCUUCAAAAUCUUUCACAUAAACUAAUUGAAUCGACUGAAGUAGACACUAGUGUUUAAAAAUGUCAAAAAUCUUUUCAGAUGAACCUGAAAAUUGACGCCAAAAUUGGUUCUUACCGGACCUACUCCUUUAGCGCUCAACAUACGGUCCUCAAUUAUUGACAAGUAUUAUGGAAAGGA